GUGGGGAAUAUUCCGCAAUGGACGAAAGUCUGACGGAGCAACGCCGCGUGAGUGAUGAAGGUCUUCGGAUUGUAAAGCUCUGUUAAUCGGGACGAAAGAGCCUAGUGUGAAUAAUGCUAGGAAGUGACGGUACCGGAAUAGAAAGCCACGGCUAACUACGUGCCAGCAGCCGCGGUAAUACGUAGGUGGCAAGCGUUGUCCGGAAUUAUUGGGCGUAAAGCGCGCGCAGGCGGAUCUGCCAGUCUGUCUUAAAAGUUCGGGGCUUAACCCCGUGAUGGGAUGGAAACUACAGAUCUAGAGUAUCGGAGAGGAAAGUGGAAUUCCUAGUGUAGCGGUGAAAUGCGUAGAUAUUAGGAAGAACACCAGUGGCGAAGGCGACUUUCUGGACGAAAACUGACGCUGAGGCGCGAAAGCCAGGGGAGCGAACGGGAUUAGAUACCCUGGUAGUCC
rnacentral:rRNA from 1 species